AUUGAACGCUGGCGGCAGGCUUAACACAUGCAAGUCGAGCGGGGAAGUAUAGCUUGCUAUACGACCUAGCGGCGGACGGGUGAGUAAUGCUUAGGAAUCUGCCUAUUAGUGGGGGACAACAUUCCGAAAGGAAUGCUAAUACCGCAUACGCCCUACGGGGGAAAGCAGGGGAUCUUCGGACCUUGCGCUAAUAGAUGAGCCUAAGUCGGAUUAGCUGGUUGGUGGGGUAAAGGCCUACCAAGGGGACGAUCUGUAGCGGGUCUGAGAGGAUGAUCCGCCACACUGGGGCCGAGACACGGCCCAGAGUCCUACGGGAGGCAGAAGUGGGGAAUAUUGGACAAUGGGGGGAACCCUGAUCCAGCCAUGCCGCGUGUGUGAAGAAGGCCUUUUGGUUGUAAAGCACUUUAAGCGAGGAGGAGACUACCGAGAUUAAUACUCUUGGAUAGUGGACGUUACUCGCAGAAUAAGCACCGGCUAACUCUGUGCCAGCAGCCGCGGUAAUAC
rnacentral:rRNA from 1 species